rnacentral:rRNA from 1 species
CCUACGGGGGGCAGCAGUGAGGAAUAUUGGUCAAUGGGCGGGAGCCUGAACCAGCCAAGCCGCGUGAAGGAAGAAGGCGCCAGGCGUCGUAAACUUCUUUUGUCGGGGAACAAAGGGCGCCACGCGUGGCGUUGUGAGUGUACCCGAAGAAAAAGCAUCGGCUAACUCCGUGCCAGCAGCCGCGGUAAUACGGAGGAUGCGAGCGUUAUCCGGAUUUAUUGGGUUUAAAGGGUGCGUAGGCGGGAUGCCAAGUCAGCGGUAAAAAUGCGGUGCUCAACGCCGUCGAGCCGUUGAAACUGGCGUUCUUGAGUGGGCGAGAAGUAUGCGGAAUGCGUGGUGUAGCGGUGAAAUGCAUAGAUAUCACGCAGAACUCCGAUUGCGAAGGCAGCAUACCGGCGCCCUACUGACGCUGAGGCACGAAAGCGUGGGUAUCGAACAGGAUUAGAUACCCCAGUAGUC